rnacentral:rRNA from 1 species
UGAAUGGGCGCAGCUGAUCAUUCAUUCCGCGUGCAGACGAAGGCCUCGGGUUGUAAACUGCUUUUGUACGGAACGAAAAGCCUAGGGUUAAUACCUCUGGGUCAUGACGGUACCGUAAGAAUAAGCACCGGCUAACUACGUGCCAGCAGCCGCGGUAAUACGUAGGGUGCAAGCGUUAAUCGGAAUUACUGGGCGUACAGCGUGCGCAGGCGGUCUUGUAAGACAGAGGUGAAAUCCCCGGGCUUACCCUGGGAACUGCCUUUGUGACUGUAAGGCUGGAGUGCGGCAGAGGGGGAUGGCAUUCCGCGUGUAGCAGUGAAAUGCGUAGAUAUGCGGAGGAACACCGAUGGCGAAGGCAAUCCCCUGGGCCUGCACUGACGCUCAUGCACGACAGCGUGGGGAGCAAACAGGAUUAGAUACCCUGGUAGUCCACGCCCUAAACGAUGUCAACUGGUUGUCGGGUCUUCACUGACUCAGUAACGAAGCUAACGCGUGAAGUUGACCGCCUGUGGAGUACGGCCGCACGGUUGAGCACUCAAAGGACUAGACGGGGACCCGCACAAGCGGUGGAUGAUGUGGCUUACUCCCAUGCAUCGCGACAAACUUAACUACCCUUGACAUGUACGGAAGUUGCCAGAGAUGGCUUCGUGCUC